UUGAGCCGUAUGCGAUGAAAGUUGCACGUACGGUUCUUAAGAGGGGAAAAUGAGUGAUCAUCUACCUAUUCUAAC
rfam:T.papilionaceus mitochondrion gene for small subunit rRNA, exon 1